rnacentral:rRNA from 1 species
UACGUAGGGUGCAAGCGUUGUCCGGAAUUAUUGGGCGUAAAGAGCUCGUAGGCGGUCUGUCGCGUCGGCUGUGAAAACCCGGAGCUCAACUCCGGGCCUGCAGUCGAUACGGGCAGACUGGAGUUCGGCAGGGGAGACUGGAAUUCCUGGUGUAGCGGUGAAAUGCGCGAUAUCAGGAGGAACACCGGUGGCGAAGGCGGGUCUCUGGGCCGAAAUUGACGCUGAGGAGCGAAAGCGUGGGGAGCAAACAGG